rnacentral:lncRNA from 13 species
GCUGCAGCUCAGAGUGAUCUCACCAGCCAAUCAGCAGAAGCUGCAGAUGAUGAGCACCUAUGGGUGAGUGUGGCUUGAGAAGGGGAGGGAGGAAAGAAGAGGCAGACAGAAGGACUGAGAGUUCAGAGCUGUCAGUCAGGAGACCUGGGCUCCCUCUCUAACUCUGUAAAUGAAGAGCUAUCUGGGCAGGCUAUGAAAAGCUGAGCAUAAGUUUCUUCACCUGUGACAUGGGGUGGCCCCUCUGCCUAUUUUUUUCUCAUGGGAUGAAAAAACUGAGGCUGAGAGAGGCACAGUUGUUUGAAGCCACAUGAUAAGCUGCAGGAGAGAAGGCCCCCAAGACAGCAAGAACAAGCUGAGGGAUGCCUCUGCCUCCACCCAGGGGACGCCAGGGACAGCUUCCCAGAGGAGGCAACGUGGGACAAGGCCUUGAAGACCUCUCUGAGUAAAGAAGGCUGGGAAGGAAUUUCAGCAUGUAGCACAUACAGAAGACGGAACUGUGAGGAACAAACCCUUGACAGACAUGGAAUCUGCUGGCCCAUUGAUUUUGGACCUCCUAGUUUCCAGAACUGGCUGCCUCCCGACAUGGGCCAGUCUGGCUGGAAACUGUCAGAGUGAAUAAGAGAAGGAUCCAUGUGAGUGCGUGGUCAAAAUAGAAGUCGCCGUGGAAAGGCGAGAGAUGAGUCUGCCAGGGAGAGCCUGUCUGGAUGUCGUCAGCUGUGAUGAGCCUACAGGUUGUCACGGACUUGGCGGCUCUCCGAUGCCUGCUGAGCAGUCUUCUGUGUAUAUGAAUCCAGAGGCUGUGGGGAAUCAGUGUUAAUGGCGCUGGGAUCCGGGUUCGGCGGGAAGGUUCUUCAGAAGGAUCCAAACUCCGUCACAAUCAUUGCAGAUGGAGUUGGACUCCAGCCAGCAGAGAGGAGGAGUCGCAGGACAUGUGUGGGGACCAGAACAAGCUGAUCAAGCCUUAGGGAGUUAAAAUUCUUUCAUCCUCCACACUCACCUCAGAAAGGUGGUGUGGUACAUUGUGACCAAGCAGGUGAAAAUUUGAUUCAUUAUCAUCGUAAAUGCCUUCAAGAGUUGGUAGACCUAAGAGCACAAAAGAAGACAAUAUGGUCAGAGUUGAAACCUACAAAUGCAGGCAUAUGGUCAACCCUGUGUAAGCGUAGACAAGAAUUAAGGAGUGUGUGGAUUACCAGAAUCCAGGGACUGGGCUGGGGAGCUGGGGAGACAAACUCUCUUUUUCUAAGCCCGUGACACAGAGCUUAGGGAGGCCCCCUAGGUUAACACAUCUGGGAGAAAUUCCCUAUCCUAAGCAACCUCAACUGAGAGGCUCAUAACAGCCCCCUUGGGGACUAAGCAACGCCAGUCAACUGGGGUAAUGGGUUUUCUUUGUGGGUGUACAUUUUUUCACUCCAGGAGGAUUUGGGGUUAUGUUAAGACAGGCUUAUGGGAAUUAAAACCAUAGUAUUUUGUUUUUUCUGUUUUAUGCUUACUUGUAAUGCUAAGAUAAUUUUGCCUAUUAAAGUGAGAAUCUAAUCAUCCUAAUUUAAAAUGUAAUUGAG